CAUCUGGCUGCAUGCUUUUCUGUUCUAAAAUAUGAACAUAAUAGCAAUAUCCUGAAAACAGUGGGUGGAUUUCACUGCUAGAAGGAUAAAAAUUGUGAUGCCCGACCAAGUAGAAACUCACUGUUCUGAGUGCUGACAUGAUCUCCAGCGCAGGCUUUACAGCCCACUCAAUCUUCAUUUUGCUUUAGCUGAUGGAACGUAUGCGGCCAUCAACGCAAUCUCAAGCAGCCAUUGUAUGUAAAGUUCUUGCAUGACUUUCUUGUCCAAUUGUUGGCUUCCUGGAAUGUCCUGACUGACGGUGGAAGGAAAUUAGGAGGAAGAGGUGUUGCUUCUUUGCCUUCCAUGUACUGCAAACA